UAGGAGCCAAUACCAACACUGUGGGUCCAUUCAGGGAAUUGUUACGCCUCUGUCUAAGAAUCAUAAAUGCUGGAAAAAAAUUUGGUUAUUUA